GAUGAACGCUGGCGGCGUGCCUAAUACAUGCAAGUCGAGCGAACGGACGAGAAGCUUGCUUCUCUGAUGUUAGCGGCGGACGGGUGAGUAACACGUGGAUAACUUACCUAUAAGACUGGGAUAACUUCGGGAAACCGGAGCUAAUACCGGAUAAUAUUUUGAACCGCAUGGUUCAAAAGUGAAAGACGGUCUUGCUGUCACUUAUAGAUGGAUCCGCGCUGCAUUAGCUAGUUGGUAAGGUAACGGCUUACCAAGGCAACGAUGCAUAGCCGACCUGAGAGGGUGAUCGGCCACACUGGAACUGAGACACGGUCCAGACUCCUACGGGAGGCAGCAGUAGGGAAUCUUCCGCAAUGGGCGAAAGCCUGACGGAGCAACGCCGCGUGAGUGAUGAAGGUCUUCGGAUCGUAAAACUCUGUUAUUAGGGAAGAACAUAUGUGUAAGUAACUGUGCACAUCUUGACGGUACCUAAUCAGAAAGCCACGGCUAACUACGUGCCAGCAGCCGCGGUAAUACGUAGGUGGCAAGCGUUAUCCGGAAUUAUUGGGCGUAAAGCGCGCGUAGGCGGUUUUUUAAGUCUGAUGUGAAAGCCCACGGCUCAACCGUGGAGGGUCAUUGGAAACUGGAAAACUUGAGUGCAGAAGAGGAAAGUGGAAUUCCAUGUGUAGCGGUGAAAUGCGCAGAGAUAUGGAGGAACACCAGUGGCGAAGGCGACUUUCUGGUCUGUAACUGACGCUGAUGUGCGAAAGCGUGGGGAUCAAACAGGAUUAGAUACCCUGGUAGUCCACGCCGUAAACGAUGAGUGCUAAGUGUUAGGGGGUUUCCGCCCCUUAGUGCUGCAGCUAACGCAUUAAGCACUCCGCCUGGGGAGUACGACCGCAAGGUUGAAACUCAAAGGAAUUGACGGGGACCCGCACAAGCGGUGGAGCAUGUGGUUUAAUUCGAAGCAACGCGAAGAACCUUACCAAAUCUUGACAUCCUUUGACAACUCUAGAGAUAGAGCUUUCCCCUUCGGGGGACAAAGUGACAGGUGGUGCAUGGUUGUCGUCAGCUCGUGUCGUGAGAUGUUGGGUUAAGUCCCGCAACGAGCGCAACCCUUAAGCUUAGUUGCCAUCAUUAAGUUGGGCACUCUAAGUUGACUGCCGGUGACAAACCGGAGGAAGGUGGGGAUGACGUCAAAUCAUCAUGCCCCUUAUGAUUUGGGCUACACACGUGCUACAAUGGACAAUACAAAGGGCAGCGAAACCGCGAGGUCAAGCAAAUCCCAUAAAGUUGUUCUCAGUUCGGAUUGUAGUCUGCAACUCGACUACAUGAAGCUGGAAUCGCUAGUAAUCGUAGAUCAGCAUGCUACGGUGAAUACGUUCCCGGGUCU
rnacentral:rRNA from 1 species